rnacentral:rRNA from 1 species
AGAGAUUGAACAUAAGAGUUUGAUCCUGGCUCAGAUUGAACGCUGGCGGCAUGCUUUACACAUGCAAGUCGGACGGCAGCACAGAGAAGCUUGCUUCUUGGGUGGCGAGUGGCGAACGGGUGAGUAACAUAUCGGAACGUACCGAGUAAUGGGGGAUAACUAAUCGAAAGAUUAGCUAAUACCGCAUAUUCUCUGAGGAGGAAAGCAGGGGACCUUCGGGCCUUGCGUUAUUCGAGCGGCCGAUAUCUGAUUAGCUAGUUGGUGGGGUAAAGGCCUACCAAGGCGACGAUCAGUAGCGGGUCUGAGAGGAUGAUCCGCCACACUGGGACUGAGACACGGCCCAGACUCCU